AACGAACGCUGGCGGCAUGCCUAACACAUGCAAGUCGAACGAGACCUUCGGGUCUAGUGGCGCACGGGUGCGUAACGCGUGGGAACCUGCCCUUAGGUUCGGAAUAACCCCCCGAAAGGGGUGCUAAUACCGGAUAAUGUCUUCGGCCCAAAGAUUUAUCGCCUUUGGAUGGGCCCGCGUUGGAUUAGCUAGUUGGUAGGGUAAAAGCCUACCACGGCGACGAUCCAUAGCUGGUCUGAGAGGAUGAUCAGCCACACUGGGACUGAGACACGGCCCAGACUCCUACGGGAGGCAGCAGUGGGGAAUAUUGGACAAUGGGCGAAAGCAUGAUCCAGCAAUGCCGCGUGAGUGAUGAAGGCCUUAGGGUUGUAAAGCUCUUUUACCCGGGAUGAUAAUGACAGUACCGGGAGAAUAAGCUCCGGCUAACUCCGUG
rnacentral:rRNA from 1 species